CCUACGGGUGGCAGCAGUGGGGGAUAUUGCACAAUGGAGGAAACUCUGAUGCAGCGACGCCGCGUGAGGGAAGACGGUCUUCGGAUUGUAAACCUCUGUCUUUGGGGAAGAAAAUGACGGUACUCAUAGAGGUAGCUCUGGCCAACAACGUGCCAGAAGCCGCGGUAGUACGCGGGGAGCGAGCGUUGUCCGGAAUUACUGGGUGUAGGGGGAACGUAGGCGGGUGUGAGGGUUGAAGGGUAAUUCUAUGGGUGUAACUUGGAAUUGCGUUUGAAACUUGUUGGCUUGAGUGACGUAGAGGCAGGCGGAAUUCCUAGUGUAGCGGUGAAAUGCGUAGAUAUGAGGAGGAACACCAGUGGCGAAGGCGGCCUGCUGGGCUAUGACUGACGCUGAGGCGCGAAAGCGUGGGGAGCAAACAGGAUUAGAUACCCCUGUAGUC
rnacentral:rRNA from 1 species